rnacentral:rRNA from 1 species
AUUGAACGCUGGCGGCAGGCUCAACACAUGCAAGUCGAGCGAGCGGCGGACGGGUGAGUAAUGUCUGGGAAACUGCCUGAUGGAGGGGGAUAACUACUGGAAACGGUAGCUAAUACCGCAUUCCAUUAGAAGUGCCCAGAUGGGAUUAGCAAGUGGGUGGGGUAAUGGCUCACCUAGGCGACGAUCCCUAGCUGGUCUGAGUGGAUGAGAAGCGACGCUGGAACUGAGGCACAGGCCAGACUCGGACGGGAGUCGGCAGUGGGGAAUAUUGCACAAUGGGAGCAAUCCUGAUACAGCCAUGCCACGUGUGUGAAGAAGGCCUUCGGGUUGUAAAGCACUUUCAGCGAGGAGGCGUUACUCGCAGAAGAAGCACCGGCUAACUCCGUGCCAGCAGCCGCGGUAAUUC